rnacentral:rRNA from 1 species
GACAGAGGAUGCAAGCGUUAUCCGGAAUGAUUGGGCGUAAAGCGUCUGUAGGUGGCUUUUUAAGUCCGCCGUCAAAUCCCAGGGCUCAACCCUGGACAGGCGGUGGAAACUACCAAGCUGGAGUACGGUAGGGCAGAGGAAUUUCCGGUGAGCGUGAAAUGCGUAGAGAUCGGAAAGAACACCAACGGCGAAAGCACUCUGCUGGCCGACACUGACACUGAGAGACGAAAGCUAGGGGAGCGAAUGG